rnacentral:lncRNA from 1 species
UUUUAGGUUACAUUAUUAUUGGUCAUAAUUACCCAAUAAUUUAUGCUCUUGGUUCCAUUCAAUCCAACCCACCACCAUUUCCACCACCGAAAAAAGCACCAUUGUCAUCAUCCCACUAAAAUAGUUCUUCUAAGGACAACUAUGCGGGUUUCUUUUGGGAGAGAAUUCAUUCGGAUAAUCAACUCGAAAGGCUGCUAUAGUCGAAUCCACCUCAAAAAUGAACUUAUAAGUUCAAUUCAAAAUACGAUAAAUCAUCACGUAGAACUAAAAGAGAAUCAAAAGCAUUAAAAAGAAAUGGCGAUUUUACAGUUUCUCUCAAGCAGAAAAACCACAAAUAAGAAAGAAGAGUACUUCUGUAACAACAUAUUGACAACAUUUCUUGUGAUUUUGGGUAUUGACUUGUAUUUUUCUAUAGUAUUAUUGGAAUCACUCCAAUGCACAAAUUAACAACAGGCCCCAAGCGUGAAAAAGAAAUCAAACAAUUUUUCCACCUUAAUCAAAAUAGAAGUUGAUGCGAGCACCUCAGUAUUACCCUUUUGAUUUCGUAAGCACACGUAAAACAUCUCCUGGAGCAAGUUGAAAGGAAAUAGCAGGAAUUUUAGAAAAUUCUCAAUCUGGAAUUUGAGCGCUGAUUUUGAUCCGACCGAUGAAAACUCAUAGAUGGAAUAGUAGCAGGAUAGGGUGGCGAUGCCAUGGGUAUAGGUCCGUCCAAGUGGGUCCCAUCGACGACGGUCGAAUUCGUGAUUCACAUUUAGAAAGCCUUUCUUGUAGAUCUUGGGCCCUAGAUGUUGUUCUGGGGAUAGUUGAAGGUGGAAUUGUGUGUUCGGAGUGAUUUUGAUGGAGAUAGGUAGUGGGUAGUGGUGGCGGCGAUGCUAGAGGUUGAUGUUCGUAGAAUUGUGGUGAUA